rnacentral:rRNA from 1 species
AUACGGAGGGUGCAAGCGUUAAUCGGAAUUACUGGGCGUAAAGCGCUCGUAGGCGGCUUGUUAAGUCGGAUGUGAAAGCCCCGGGCUCAACCUGGGAACUGCAUUCGAUACUGGCAGACUAGAGUAUAGUAGAGGCAAGUGGAAUUCCGGGUGUAGCGGUGAAAUGCGUAGAUAUCGGGAAGAACAUCAGUGGCGAAGGCGGCUUACUGGAUCAACACUGACACUGAGGCGCGAAAGCGUGGGUAGCAAACAGGAUUAGAAACCCCGGUAGUCC